UACAGAGGUCCCAAGCGUUGUUCGGAUUCAUUGGGCGUAAAGGGUGCGUAGGCGGCGCGGUAAGUCGGGUGUGAAAUCUCGGAGCUUAACUCCGAAACUGCAUUCGAUACUGCCGUGCUUGAGGACUGGAGAGGAGACUGGAAUUUACGGUGUAGCGGUGAAAUGCGUAGAUAUCGUAAGGAAGACCAGUGGCGAAGGCGGGUCUCUGGACAGUUCCUGACACUGAGGUGCGAAAGCGUGGGGAGCAAACAGG
rnacentral:rRNA from 1 species